rnacentral:rRNA from 1 species
GACGAACGCUGGCGGCGUGCUUAACACAUGCAAGUCGAACGGAAAGGCCCUGCUUUUGUGGGGUGCUCGAGUGGCGAACGGGUGAGUAACACGUGAGUAACCUGCCCUUGACUUUGGGAUAACUUCAGGAAACUGGGGCUACUACCGGAUAGGAGCUCCUGUUGCAUGGUGGGGGUUGGAAAGUUUCGGCGGUUGGGGAUGGAUUCGCGGCUUAUCAGCUUGUUGGUGGGGUAGUGGCUUACCAAGGCUUUGACGGGUACCCGGCCUGAGAGGGUGACCGGCGACAUGGGGACUGAGAUACGGCCCAGACUCCUACGGGAGGCAGCAGGGGGGAAUAUUGCACAAUGGGCGGAAGCCUGAUGCAGCAACGCCGCGGGCGGGAUGACGGCCUUCGGGUUGUAAACCGCUGUCGCCUGUGACGAAGCGUGAGUGACGGUAAUGGGUAAAGAAGCACCGGCUAACUACGUG